rnacentral:hammerhead_ribozyme from 1 species
UCACUGCUGAAGAGUCCCAAGCCAGGACGAGACAGCCGUCCAGUAA